GCACAACAUUCCCAACAGUACUUCCAGCCUGUCCUCCUGACUAUGUCCGCUGUCAGGAUGGUACAUGUCGUAAAGAAACCUGUGAUGAUCCAACAUUCCCAACAGUACCACCAGCCUGUCCUCCUGACUAUGUCCGCUGUCAGGAUGGUGAAUGUCGUAAAACAAACUGUGAAGAUUGCAGAGAUUUAUCACUGGAAUCUCGUCUUGCUAUAGCCAUACCCUUGGCAAUUCUUGUAUUUGUUAUACUUGUUGUAUUUAUUGUGAAAUUCAGACCCUCUAAAUCUGUCACGGUACGUACAUCGCAGCCAGAUUCAAGCUCCAAAUAACACGCUAAAUCAGAUCAAUGGCAGAUAUUGAAAAUCGUAGAAAUAAACGCUUAGAAGCACUUUGUUGAAGGAACCAAAAUAAUGCAGAUGUCAUCGCUUGUGUGUAAUAUGGAGGGUCUUGGCUUCACAUCAUUUUGUGGAAUAGGUUUGAAGCAUUGCAGUUCUUUAACCUUAUUGAAUUUAUGCACGUUUACGUACAACACAUGCGCAGAUAAUUCAAUACAACAAAUGUGUAAAUAUCUCAGUGCAAUAAAUAUUUAAAUGCUUUAAUGAAACAUAGACAUGA